rnacentral:tRNA from 1 species
GCGGGUGUAGUUCAAAGGUAGAACGUGAGCCUUCCAAGCUCAAUAUGGGGGUUCGAUUCCCCCCACCCGCU